UGCACCAGACACCUGCGGCGAAGAAGGUGGAGUUCGCCGUGAUAGCCUUGUCAGGGUCAUCGAUGUCUUGGUAUCAAUUGCUGAUCAGGAGAAUACCUAAUCCCGAUUGGGUAACUUUUCGUCAGGAGUUGCUGAUUCGAUAUGGCGAUGAGUCCGCAAUUAACGGCUAUGAAGCCUUGCUUGCAGUCAAGCAAACAGGUUCUCUCGAGGAAUAUAUCGCCGCUUUUGAGAAUAGGGUUUCACAAAUUCCUGAUUUCUCGGAUGCGCAUUACUUGGGAUUUUUCUUGGGUGGGUUGAAGAAGCAUCUGCGAGCCCAGAUUCAAGAUAGUGUAAUUUUCAGCUAUUCAGCCGCUUUACAGGCUGCUCGAAAGAUAGACCAUGCAACAUCGCCAGUUACCACAGCGAGUUACUCUACCAGGCCAGUGUUCAUUCGACAUUCUUCCCCGGUCAGACCUCACAGCACCCCACCAGCGACGAACACAUCAUCGUCGGUUGUCUCCCACACGUCGUCCGCUUCCCCGGCUGCAUCCCACACUUCGUCUGCCCUCCCCGCAAUUUUUGCAACAUCUCCACUGAGGAGUACAUGAAACAUCGUGCAGCUGGCACUUGUUUUCGCUGCGGCCUGAAAUAUGGGCCAUUGCAUCGCUGCCCACCUAAAACACUACAGGUUUUAAUCGGUGACAUGGAAGAUGACCCGGGCAGGGACCUAGAGAAUUCUGAGGAUACUGGGCUGAAGGAGGAAGCCCCAUGGGGCCAUGUGGAUCAGCAACCGCCUUGAGGACAAGGCUGUUUCGACAGGCGGGCAAUUGAUAGCGUUAGAUCAGCUGCAGUCUGCAGAUUUAGGAUUAUCUUUAUUAUAUUAGUUUUUGUUAGUUCAUAGUUAUCUUUUAUUUUUCGCAGUAGUUCAAUUAUUUAGGGUUAAGUUUUUAGGUCAGACUCAUGGGCUCCAAGUUAUUUAAUUGGGCCUCAAGUCAUUAGGUCUAUAUAUAGUUCUUUACGAUUUAGGGUUAAUUAUCGGGGGAUCAUUGUUUAGGGACAGCAAUAGCUGUAGGGCAGAGAUAUUUUUCUCUGAGGGCCUCGCAGGAGGAGUUUUAUAUAUCGUAUUUUUAUUUUCUUUCUUAUUUCUUCAUCUUCAUACGCCUUUACUCUAUCAUAAAAAACGAUCAAAUCUACACCAAACGCAUAAAAAACUAACUACUAUAAUAUCAAUUCUUGAUGUUUAUAUAUAUAAUUUUAGAUAUUGUGCAUUUUAAAAUUACCUGAUAGCAUAUAUAUAUUUGUGAUAAUAAAAUUUGUCAGUGUUAUCUACUCCCUCCGUCCACGAAAUGAGUACCCAUUUGUGGACGGCAUGGGUUUUAAGAAAUGUAUGGAGUGUAGUGUGAAUAGUUUAAGGGUCCCACUUUUUUAGUGUAUUAAUUAAAGAGAUGUGUGGGUUACACUUGCCAAAAAGGGAAAUGUGUACUCAUUUCAUGGACGGACGAAAAAGGAAAUAUGAGUACUCAUUUCGUGGACGGAUGGAGUAUUAUUUAUGACGGAAGAUAUUAUUAUAGUAUAGAGAUGGUUGGAGUGGCAAAAAAAGAUUGUCACAAACAUAUAGUGACGACAAAUAUUGACAACAAAAAAACGUGUCACUAAUAUAUAGUUUUUGUCUCGGACGAAAAUAUUGUCCCUAUAUAUAUACAUGUUUAGUGACAACACUAUAAUCGUCACUGAUAUAUAGUAACAGUAAAUACUGACAAUAAUAUAUUUUAUCACUGAUUUAUUUUAUUGUGAUGUGACAAAUAAUCGUCACUAUACAUAUAUAGUUAUAGUGGGCAGAGAUAUUUUUCUCUGAGGGCCUCGCAGGAGGAGUUUUAUAUAUCGUAUUUUUUAUUUUCUUUCUUAUUUCUUCAUCUUCAUACGCCUUUACUCUAUCAAUUUGGUCCGACCUGCCGGAUCGAAAGAUGACAAUGACGAGAGACCAACAACGCAUGGAGCAGAUAGAGAAGGCACUGGAGGAACUUCGCGCCGCCCAGUCUGCAGCGGCGGUGAAGCAAGCAGCAUCAGAUUCUAAACUUGACGCCAUUCUCGCCCAGUUGAAAUCCUCUGAUCACUUUGAUCGGGGCCCCGAUCCCUCGCUGUCGGAGUCAGAAAGUUCCCCCACUCCGAUGUUGCAGAAGAUGGAGAUGCCCAGUUUCGACGGAUCUGAUGCUCGUGCAUGGCUUGCACGUGCAGAACAGUAUUUCUUGGUGCACCAGACACCUGCGGCGAAGAAGGUGGAGUUCGCCGUGAUAGCCUUGUCAGGGUCAUCGAUGUCUUGGUAUCAAUUGCUGAUCAGGAGAAUACCUAAUCCCGAUUGGGUAACUUUUCGUCAGGAGUUGCUGAUUCGAUAUGGCGAUGAGUCCGCAAUUAACGGCUAUGAAGCCUUGCUUGCAGUCAAGCAAACAGGUUCUCUCGAGGAAUAUAUCGCCGCUUUUGAGAAUAGGGUUUCACAAAUUCCUGAUUUCUCGGAUGCGCAUUACUUGGGAUUUUUCUUGGGUGGGUUGAAGAAGCAUCUGCGAGCCCAGAUUCAAGAUAGUGUAAUUUUCAGCUAUUCAGCCGCUUUACAGGCUGCUCGAAAGAUAGACCAUGCAACAUCGCCAGCCCCACCAGCGACGAACACAUCGUCGGUUGUCUCCCACACGUCGUCCGCUUCCCCGGCUGCCUCCCUCACUUCAUCUGCCCCUCCCCGCAAUUUUCGCAACAUCUCCAAUGAGGAGUACAUGAAACACCGUGCAGCUGGCACUUGUUUUCGCUGCG
rnacentral:lncRNA from 1 species